rnacentral:rRNA from 1 species
UGGGGAAUAUUGCACAAUGGGCGCAAGCCUGAUGCAGCCAUGCCGCGUGUAUGAAGAAGGCCUUCGGGUUGUAAAGUACUUUCAGUCGUGAGGAAGGCGGCGUCGUUAAUAGCGGCAUCGUUUGACGUUAGCGACAGAAGAAGCACCGGCUAACUCCGUGCCAGCAGCCGCGGUAAUACGGAGGGUGCGAGCGUUAAUCGGAAUUACUGGGCGUAAAGCGCAUGCAGGUGGUUUGUUAAGUCAGAUGUGAAAGCCCGGGGCUCAACCUCGGAAUAGCAUUUGAAACUGGCAGACUAGAGUACUGUAGAGGGGGGUAGAAUUUCAGGUGUAGCGGUGAAAUGCGUAGAGAUCUGAAGGAAUACCGGUGGCGAAGGCGGCCCCCUGGACAGAUACUGACACUCAGAUGCGAAAGCGUGGGGAGCAAACAGGAUUAGAUACCCUGGUAGUCCACGCCGUAAACGAUGUCUACUUGGAGGUUGUGGCCUUGAGCCGUGGCUUUCGGAGCUAACGCGUUAARUAGACCGCCUGGGGGAGUACGGUCGCAAGAUUAAAACUCAAAUGAAUUGACGGGGGCCCGCACAAGCGGUGGAGCAUGUGGUUUAAUUCGAUGCAACGCGAAGAACCUUUACCUACUCUUGACAUCCAGAGAACUUUCCAGAGAUGGAUUGGUGCCUUCGGGAACUCUGAGACAGGUGCUGCAUGGCUGUCGUCAGCUCGUGUUGUGAAAUGUUGGGUUAAGUCCCGCAACGAGCGCAACCCUUAUCCUUGUUUGCCAGCGAGUAAUGUCGGGAACUCCAGGGAGACUGCCGGUGAUAAACCGGAGGAAGGUGGGGACGACGUCAAGUCAUCAUGGCCCUUACGAGUAGGGCUACACACGUGCUACAAUGGCGCAUACAGAGGGCGGCCAACUUGCGAGAGUGAGCGAAUCCCAAAAAGUGCGUCGUAGUCCGGAUUGGAGUCUGCAACUCGACUCCAUGAAGUCGGAAUCGCUAGUAAUCGUGGAUCAGAAUGCCACGGUGAAUACGUUCCCGGGCCUUGUACACACCGCCCGUCACACCAUGGGAGUGGGCUGCAAAAGAAGUAGGUAGUUUAACCUUCGGGGGGACG